AUUGAACGCUGGCGGCAGGCUUAACACAUGCAAGUCGAGCGAGCGGCGGACGGGUGAGUAAUGUCUGGGAAACUGCCUGAUGGAGGGGGAUAACUACUGGAAACGGUAGCUAAUACCGCAUACCAUCGGAUGUGCCCAGAUGGGAUUAGCUAGGAGGUGGGGUAAGGGCUCACAUAGGCGACGAUCCCUAGCUGGUCUGAGAGGAUGACCGGCCACAGGGGAACUGAGAAACGGCCCAGACUCCUCAGGGAGGCAGCAGAGGGGAAUUUUGCAAAAGGGGCGCAAGCCUGAUGAAGCAAUGCCGCGUGUGUGAAGAAGGCUUUCGGGUUGAAAAGCACGUUUAUAGAGGAGGCGUUAAUCGAACAAGAAGCAACGGCUAACUACGUGCCAGCCGCCGCGGUAAUAC
rnacentral:rRNA from 1 species